GACGAACGCUGGCGGCGUGCUUAACACAUGCAAGUCGAACGAUGAAGCCGGAGCUUGCUCUGGUGAAUUAGUGGCGAACGGGUGAGUAACACGUGAGUAACCUGCCCUUGACUCUGGGAUAACUGCUAGAAAUGGUAGCUAAUACCGGAUACGACCCUCGGAGGCAUCUCCAGGGGGUGGAAAGAAUUUCGGUCAAGGAUGGACUCGCGGCCUAUCAGCUAGUUGGUGAGGUAACGGCUCACCAAGGCGACGACGGGUAGCCGGCCUGAGAGGGUGACCGGCCACACUGGGACUGAGACACGGCCCAGACUCCUACGGGAGGCAGCAGUGGGGAAUAUUGCACAAUGGGCGCAAGCCUGAUGCAGCAACGCCGCGUGAGGGAUGACGGCCUUCGGGUUGUAAACCUCUUUUAGUAGGGAAGAAGCGAAAGUGACGGCACCUGCAGAAAAAGCACCGGCCAACUACGUGCCAGCCGCCGCGGUAA
rnacentral:rRNA from 1 species